CAACAGUCUCCUCUUGAAUGAGCUGGAGCAGGAGGGCAGAUGGUUAAAUACUACUUUCAUUACUGAAAAAUUAGAUUAGCAAGGCUAAGAGUCUCCUGGUAACUGAUACCUGGGCUGUGUUUGCCAAGCGGUGAUAACAUGGUCAUAUCAGCCUGCAAAGCUACCAGACAAAGCCACGGGAAGUAGCAGCACUCGUUACCGCCUGCAAGUAAUGCCGGAGUACGGCAGUAUCUAGAGAAGCCACUGCAGCUUCUGCUGUCACUGCAAUGAAGAAGCUGAUGCCCACCUUCACUGUUGCUGAAAGAAGAAUUUUGGGAAGAGCAGUAUGGGACGUAUUAGUUGAGCAAGCCCUCUUCCACUCCUCUUCCCUGGCAGAAGUCACCCAGCCUCAAGGAAUGCUUUCCACGUCGUGUGUAACAAGUUAUUCCCUUCAGCAAGCCAAAAAGACGUCAGCCCAAAGCAUGACAGGACUCAAGUUGUGCCAGCUACAGCAAGGGGCAGCAUGGAGGCCGUACCUAGUGAAAAGGGAGACCUGCUAAUGACAGAAAUGGGCUUGUUUCUCAUCUACAUGUUCCUCCGCAUUGCUCAAAAUCACUCUUGGGUACAAAACUUCCUCAUUGUAUGGCUUAGAGACUCAAGGAAAGGCCAGCAAAUGAUGCCGCCUGGUGUGUUCCUUGUCAUGUUUAUUAUGGACCUGUCUGUCUGCAAUGAAAAUCUGAUGCCUGAGACUCACUCACCUGAGAUACUCCCUUGCAGGGGAUGCAGGGGAAAAUCUAUGGCUUGCUCCUCUGUCAGGACGAAUAGUGGUAUGGAUGAAGAAGUCUUGGGUGCCGUGGGAUACUCUGAGAGAACUGGCUCACUGUCAAUCAUACUAGGAAUGGUGAACAUAUGGGCUGCUUUAGAGCAAAUAUGGCUGCAUUCCCAGCCCAAGGCACUGCAGAAAAUGUCACAGCCCCUGGAUAAGAUCAGCCUUUUCAGACACACCCUGAGUGGUACACAUAUAGGAAAGCAUUCAUAAGUGAAGCCUCAGCACUUUACAGACUAGCCCUCUGCUUGUUCAGCCCCUCCACGGGCUUGUGUUCUCGCUACAGAAGCAAUUUCACAGGCUGAGGCAAAAGGGGGUUUAUGAGGCAGAAGAGC
rnacentral:lncRNA from 1 species